ACGGUAUCAACAGAAGAAGCACCGGCUAACUACGUGCCAGCAGCCGCGGUAAUACGUAGGGUGCGAGCGUUAAUCGGAAUUACUGGGCGUAAAGGGUGCGCAGGCGGUUAUGUAAGUCAGAUGUGAAAUCCCCGGGCUUAACCUGGGAAUUGCGUUUGAAACUACAUGACUAGAGUGUAACAGAGGGAAGUGGAAUUCCAUGUGUAGCAGUGAAAUGCGUAGAGAUAUGGAGGAACAUCGAUGGCGAAGGCAGCUUCCUGGGUUAACACUGACGCUCAUGCACGAAAGCGUGGGGAGCAAACAGGAUUAGAUACCCUGGUAGUCCACGCCCUAAACUAUGUCAACUAGUUGUCGGAUCUUAACAGAUUUGGUAACGUAGCUAACGCGUGAAGUUGACCGCCUGGGGAGUACGGUCGCAAGAUUAAAACUCAAAGGAAUUGACGGGGACCCGCACAAGCGGUGGAUUAUGUGGAUUAAUUCGAUGCAACGCGAAAAACCUUACCUACCCUUGACAUGUCAGAAAGAUUUUAGAAAUAAAUUCGUGCCCGAAAG
rnacentral:rRNA from 1 species